UACGGAGGGGGCUAGCGUUGUUCGGAAUUACUGGGCGUAAAGCGCACGUAGGCGGCUUUGUAAGUUAGAGGUGAAAGCCCGGGGCUCAACUCCGGAAUUGCCUUUAAGACUGCAUCGCUCGAAUUGUGGAGAGGUAAGUGGAAUUCCGAGUGUAGAGGUGAAAUUCGUAGAUAUUCGGAAGAACACCAGUGGCGGAGGCGACUUACUGGACACAUAUUGACGCUGAGGUGCGAAAGCGUGGGGAGCAAACAGG
rnacentral:rRNA from 1 species